rnacentral:lncRNA from 12 species
CUAUUCCAGGUACUCCAGAGCUGCCUUGUAAUCCCUGAAUCCUACUGAACUCACACCCUGGUGAUGUAUCAGUGUCAAAGGGAUGCAACUGGUAAUUCUGCCUGGCUGUUAAACUGCCUCGUGUCACCCUGUUUCCAAUGGCUGCUGACAAGGGCCACUGUGAGACCUGUAAACCACUGCAGUGCAGCCCAAGCCCUGAGCCUGUGUGAAGAUUUAGACAUGCCCAAGGGAUUUAGGGAUGUCCAAGCCUGGCAGGGGUGGGAAAACUGAGAUGUUCUUGCUUGAGAUCCUCGAGUGGAGCUAAGGAACCAAAUUUCUUAUAUAAUUGAUGCUUCAUUUCCUCAUUAAUGCCACAAAGAUUUAUGUGAAGGGACUUCCAGAGUGCUAAUGGAAUUACCCACCUAAAUCUCCCCCACGCCAACGGCAGGGAACGCUCUGGUUCUUUGCCCUCAUGUCAGUGCUGGGUGAGUAACUGAAUUAUUUGUUAGCCAGCAAAAUUA